AUGACUUAAGCAUAGGUAAGGAAAAUAAUGGUUCAGGGUGACAUCAGAGUCCUUGUUGCUUAUAUGAGAAUUUUUUGAGCUGGUAAAAUUGGCCCCAAAGGAAACCUGUGUACAUUACAGGAUGCUUACAUAUAGUAACAUGCCUG